UAGUCCACGCCGUAAACGAUGAUCACUCGCUGUAUGCGAUACACAGUAUGCGGCUGAGCGAAAGCAUUAAGUGAUCCACCUGGGGAGUACGAUCGCAAGGUUGAAACUCAAAGGAAUUGACGGGGGCCCGCACAAGCGGAGGAACAUGUGGUUUAAUUCGAUGAUACGCGAGGAACCUUACCUGGGCUUAAAUGUAGCGUGACCGUACCCGAAAGGGUAUUUCGUCUUCGGAGCAGGGUUACAAGGUGCUGCAUGGCUGUCGUCAGCUCGUGCCGUGAGGUGUCGGGUUAAGUCCCAUAACGAGCGCAACCCCUAUCGUUAGUUGCCAGCGGGUAAUGCCGGGAACUCUAGCGAGACUGCCACCGUAAGGUGAGAGGAAGUGGGGAUGACGUCAAGUCAGCACGGCCCUUAUGUCCAGGGCUACACACGUGUUACAAUGGUCAGUACAAAGGGCAGCUACCAUGUGAAUGGAUGCAAAUCUCUAAACUGAUCCC
rnacentral:rRNA from 1 species